AUUCCCUACGGGGUGCACCAGGCGCGAAAACUUUACAAUGCACGAAAGUGUGAUAAGGGAAUCCUUAGUGCUUAUGCAUAGCAUAGGCUUUUGUCAAGUGUAAAUAACUUGGCGAAUAAGUGGUGGGUAAGACCGGUGCAGCAGCCGCGGUAAAAUC
rnacentral:rRNA from 1 species